rnacentral:rRNA from 1 species
GCAAAUAGAGUUCCGACCAGAGAUGGAAGGAAUGCUUUUAUUAGAUCAAAACCAAUCGGUGGCGGGCUUGCCUUGCUCACCGUUUGACUUGGUGACUCUGAAUAACUUUGUGCUGAUCGCACGGUCUCGUACCGGCGACGCAUCUUUCAAAUGUCUGCCUUAUCAACUGUCGAUGGUAGUUUCUGCGACUACCAUGGUUGUUACGGGUAACGGGGAAUCAGGGUUCGAUUCCGGAGAGGGAGCCUGAGAAACGGCUACCACAUCCAAGGAAGGCAGCAGGCGCGCAAAUUACCCACUCCCGGCACGGGGAGGUAGUGACGAAAAAUAACGAUACGGGACUCAUCCGAGGCCCCGUAAUCGGAAUGAGUACACUUUAAAUCCUUUAACCAUGAUCAAUUGGAGGGCAAGUCUGGUGCCAGCAGCCGCGGUAACUCCAGCUCCAAUAGCGUAUAUUAAAGUUGUUGCGGUUAAAAAGCUCGUAGUUGAAUCUGUGUCCCACACUGUCGGUUCACCGCUCGCGGUGUUCAACUGGCAUGUCUGUGGGACGUCCUACCGGUGGGCGCAGCCCGUCAAAAGGCGGCCCAACUCAAAAUCCUACCACGGUGCUCUUCACCGAGUGUCGAGGUGGGCCGGUACGUUUACUUUGAACAAAUUAGAGUGCUUAAAGCAGGCUCAUUCGCCUGAAUAUUCUGUGCAUGGAAUAAUGGAAUAGGACCUCGGUUCUAUUUUGUUGGUUUUCGGAACUCCGAGGUAAUGAUUAAUAGGGACAACUGGGGGCAUUCGUAUUGCGACGUUAGAGGUGAAAUUCUUGGAUCGUCGCAAGACGGACAGAAGCGAAAGCAUUUGCCAAAUGUGUUUUCAUCAAUCAAGAACGAAAGUUAGAGGCUCGAAGGCGAUCAGAUACCGCCCUAGUUCUAACCAUAAACGAUGCCAGCUAGCGAUCCGCCGAAGUUCCUCCGAUGACUCGGCGGGCAGCUUCCGGGAAACCAAAGCUUUUGGGUUCCGGGGGAAGUAUGGUUGCAAAGCUGAAACUUAAAGGAAUUGACGGAAGGGCACCACCAGGAGUGGAGCCUGCGGCUUAAUUUGACUCAACACG